rnacentral:snoRNA from 1 species
AUACUGUGAUGAUCUAUUAAAUAUAGUCUCGUUCGUAUGAACAAAAUAUGAUUAUAAAACACCACAUUACUGAAUUU